rnacentral:rRNA from 1 species
ACUAAAGUUUAUUAACACUAAAGGACAAAAAGACCCUCUGAAGCUUUAUAGGGAUAAAACUUGGGGUAACAUUCUCAAUACAAAUAUUCUUAUCUAAAGUAGUAAAUUAUUGGUUUUCUCCUAAGACC